ACAAGUUGACAAGAGCAUCGGGUGGAUGCCUUGGCGUCGGAAGGCGAUGAAAGACGUGGUAAGCUGCGAAAAGCCUCGGGGAGAAGCUAAACAUUCUAUGAUCCGGGGAUUUCUGAAUGGGGAAACCCGGCGGAGGUCAUGCUCCGUCGCGGGCACUUGAAUACAUAAAGUGCCCAGCGCCAACUCAGGGAAGUGAAACAUCUCAGUACCUGAAGGAAAAGAAAUCAAACGAGACUCCCAAAGUAGCGGCGAGCGAAAUGGGAUGAGCCCAAACCGGCUGGAUUCGUUCAGCCGGGGUUGUAGGGCCGGCAUAUGUGAUUCAUGAGUAGGCAGGGGAAAUGAGCUGGAAAGCUCUGCCAGAGCGGGUGACAGCCCCGUACCUGAAACCCAAAGCGACACAGCCGGUACCUGAGUACCGCGAGACACGUGGAACCUCGUGGGAAUCCGGGAGGACCAUCUUCCAAGGCUAAGUACUAACCGACGACCGAUAGUGUACCAGUACCGUGAGGGAAAGGUGAAAAGAACCUCUGUUAGAGGAGUGAAAUAGAAUCUGAAACCUGGUGCUUACAAGCUGUGAGAGCGGACUUGUUCCGUGAUCACGUGCCUUUUGCAUAAUGAGUCAGCGAGUUAAUCUGUACUGCAAGGUUAAGCGCAAGUGGAGCCGUAGGGAAACCGAGUCUGAUAAGGGCGAUGAGUAGUGCGGAUUAGACCCGAAACCGGGUGAUCUAUCCAUGAGCAGGUUGAAGCAAGGGUAAAACCUUGUGGAGGACCGAACCAAUACCGGCUGAAAACGGUUUGGAUGACUUGUGGAUAGGGGUGAAAGGCCAAUCAAACCCGGUGAUAGCUGGUUCUCCCCGAAAUAUAUUGAGGUAUAGCCUCAUGGAUUGUCUACCGGAGGUAAAGCACUGACAGGGCUAGGGGUCCUACCAGAUUACCAAACCCUAUCAAACUCAGAAUGCCGGUCAGAUGUACCAUGGGAGUCAGACGGCGGGUGCUAAGGUCCGUCGUCGAGAGGGUAAGAGCCCAGAUCAACAGCUAAGGUCUCCAAAUCUAUGCUCAGUGGUUAAGGUGGUGACGUUGUAGAGACACCCAGGACGUUGGCUUAGAAGCAGCCAUCCUUUAAAGAAAGCGUAAUAGCUCACUGGUCUAAUGACGUUGCGCCGAAAAUGUAACGGGGCUAAGCAUAGUACCGAAGCUUUGAAUUCCGCAUAUGCGGUCUGGUAGGGGAGCGUUCUUCACGGGCUGAAGGUGUGUCGUAAGGCAUGCUGGACUGUGGAGAAGUGAUUAUGCUGACAUGAGUAACGAUAAAACGGGUGAAAAACCCGUUCGCCGUAAACCCAAGGUUUUCCGGGUAAAGGUAAUCUUCCCGGAGUUAGUCGGCCCCUAAGGCGAGGCUGAAAGGCGUAGCUGAUGGGAAACGUGUUAAUAUUCACGUACUUGUGUGUUCGCGCGAUGAAGGGACGCAGGAAGAUAGGCAAGCCGGGCGCUGGUUGUCCCGGUGCAAGCGUGUAGGGAUGAGAAGUUGGCAAAUCCGCUUCUCUCUAUCCUGAGACGCGAGUCCGUGACCGAAAGGUCUGAAGUUGUUGAGUCUAUGCUGCCUAGAAAAGCUUCUAAGUAUAGGACACGCAAACCGUACCGGAAACCAACUCAGGUGGGUGGGAUGAAUAAUCCAAGGCGCUCGAGAGAACUCUGGCCAAGGAACUCGGCAAAAUAACCCCGUACCUUCGGAAGAAGGGGUGCUUUUUAGGGUGAAGCGAUUCACUCUGUCGAGCCCUGAAAAGCCGCAGAGAAAUGGUGGUGGCGACUGUUUACUAAAAACAUAGGUCUGUGCCAAGUCGUAUAGACGACGUAUACGGACUGACGCCUGCCCGGUGCUGGAAGGUUAAAAGGAGGAGUCAGCGCAAGCGAAGCUCCGAAUUGAAGCCCCAGUAAACGGCGGCCGUAACUAUAACGGUCCUAAGGUAGCGAAAUUCCUUGUCGGGUAAGUUCCG
rnacentral:rRNA from 1 species